rnacentral:rRNA from 1 species
GACGAACGCUGGCGGCGUGCUUAACACAUGCAAGUCGAGCGGAAAGGCCCUUCGGGGUACUCGAGCGGCGAACGGGUGAGUAACACGUGAGUAACCUGCCCCAGACUUUGGGAUAACCCUCGGAAACGGGGGCUAAUACCGGAUACGACACAGCUUCGCAUGGGGUCUGUGUGGAAAGUUUUUCGGUUUGGGAUGGGCUCGCGGCCUAUCAGCUUGUUGGUGGGGUGAUAGCCUACCAAGGCGACGACGGGUAGCCGGCCUGAGAGGGCGACCGGCCACACUGGGACUGAGACACGGCCCAGACUCCUACGGGAGGCAGCAGUGGGGAAUAUUGCACAAUGGGCGGAAGCCUGAUGCAGCGACGCCGCGUGAGGGAUGACGGCCUUCGGGUUGUAAACCUCUUUCAGCAGGGACGAAGCGUAAGUGACGGUACCUGCAGAAGAAGCGCCGGCCAACUACGUG